rnacentral:rRNA from 1 species
UACGGAGGAUGCAAGCGUUAUCCGGAUUCAUUGGGUUUAAAGGGUGCGUAGGCGGGUUUGUAAGUCAGUGGUGAAAUCUUGCCGCUUAACGGUAAAAUUGCCAUUGAUACUGCAGAUCUUGAAUAUGGAUGAGGUAGGCGGAAUGUGUAGUGUAGCGGUGAAAUGCAUAGAUAUUACACAGAACACCGAUUGCGAAGGCAGCUUACUAAACCAUUAUUGACGCUGAUGCACGAAAGCGUGGGGAGCAAACAGG